AAAAAACAGGGGAAUAAUAUGGAAGAUCUAUUUAUUGCCUAUCUAGCAUCUUCCUUCCUGGGUUUCCUAUUUCUUUUACAUGGCUGUCUUAUGGAAUUACUCAAGUAAAUGCCUUGGGGGGGCACUUGUCCUGGAGUUUCCUAAUUACAGAUACAUUGGACCUAUCACCAACUUCAAAUGAAUCAAAAAAAAUCAAGAGCUUUUAACCCUACAACUCUGUAGAAGCAAAAUUUUCACCUAUGGUAAUUUAAGAGGCACGACAGAUGCCAUAUGGUCAUGUAAUCAUAUUUACCAAACCAUAAAUCUGUGUCGUAUAAUCUGAGGGAUAAGAAUCCUAGAAACAACAGAAAUGAAAAUUUUAAAUCCAGGAAAUGUGGUCCCAUGAGAUCUCAGGCUACCGUUGCUUGUUUUUCCAGUCCACGCAGGAAGAGUGUUCAGAGAGGAGGCAUCAAGUCUCCGCAGCGCCCCCUAGGGCAAGGAGGAGUCACAGCAGGCUGGAGCAAGCCCUCAGCUUUUCCGUUUCACUUUGAAGGGGUCCUGAAAACAUUUCCCCCCACCGGGGAUCCUCUCCUGACUGGAGUAAACCCUUAUCUCCCAGCCAGGCAGCUCAGAGAACAUGACGCUCAAAUUAAAAUGAGCAGCAGAGCAUACAGACCAGGAGGCUAAGUCCAUGAGCACCACACGGAAAAUGAGGCCCUCUCAGUUCUGACCAUGAGCUUUUCUACCAGUUAGCCACAAAGAGCCACCACAGGCCGGAGCUGCCACAGUCCUAGUGCAGCGUGGCACCUCAGGCUUGGAUACAGUCAUUCUCUUGCUCAAGGCAGUCUCUUGAGAAAACUUGCAAGCACAGACCAUACGACCCUCAUGGAACCAAAGGCCACCGGGAGCCAAGUGAGCUUCUGUGAGGUGCCUGUGCUGCCCUGGGGUUAAGCGUGAGGGCUCUAAUGUCUGACUCCCACUCAGGACUGGGCAACCCAUCUAGCUUUCUUGUGCCUCAGCAGUCUCAUCUGUUAACUGCUGUGGUGUGGAUUCAUGCAUCAAUCCAUGGGCCUGGCAGAGUAGGUCCUCAGCGCAGGCUGCUUAUUAUGACCUCACUUCUUGUUCCUAGAGCACACUCACCUAAAGCUGAUUCCCCAGGCGUUCCUUAGGCCCUGCCUAGGCAGUCACACAAAACUAAGAAGGAUCCCGAAGGCUGGAAUGAGCUCCAGAUGUGGAGCCGGAGAACUGAGACACAGGCAGACCCUGUCACUCAACUUUGCUGUGACAUCUUAGGGCAGGGCCUUAACCUCUCUGAGAUGGUAAGAAUCUUCACCUUGCUGUGAGGAACAGAAGGGAGGGCUGCCGUGAGAGACCUCACACCUGGCCAGAACAGAAGCUCUUGAGCCGAAUCAACUGGGAAAGGCCCGCUUCCUGACACGGGAAGGCCCAGGCAGAGCAGCAGAGGGCUGGGCAUUGAACAGAGGGAAAUACAGUCACUGAGAGCCUGCCUUGCCCUGGCCCACCCCCAUACCAAGGGCAGGGAGCAUCAUCAGUGGGGCCACCCUCUCGGUCCACACACAAUGGCAUCUGUUGGGAGAAAUUCAGUGCUGCAGCCUUGUGCUUGUACCUGGCAAGGAUGGGCCAGGAGAGGGUGGACUGUUGAUAGCAUCCUCCACUGGGCUCUCCAGGUAAGGAGGCCUCUUCGUAAUCACCAUCACAAAGAUGCCAGAACUACCAAAGACUAGAAGACCUUCCUCCUGCAAGUUGACUCUUAUAUUGUUUUCCCCAGGCCUGAGACAGAAGUUGGACUGGGGACACCAUGGACCAUCCAUCACAGGAACCUGAGACUCAAGUGACUCAGAUUUGUACUAACAUGGAGAGACAAGAUGGAAAUUCAAUAAUGACCUCUGUUAAUGUUCUGCCUUCCAGAAAGGCCUUUGUACCAUGAGUAAAUACAAAUCUUGGUUGA